rnacentral:rRNA from 1 species
AGAAUCAACGCUGGCGGCAUGCCUAACACAUGCAAGUCGAACGCGAAAGGGGCUUCGGCCCUGAGUAGAGUGGCAAACGGGUGAGUAACGCGUGGGCGACCUACCUUCGAGUGGGGGAUAACCUUCCGAAAGGGGGGCUAAUACCGCAUGACAUCCCGUGUUUGGAUACACGGUGAUCAAAGCCGGGGAUCGCAAGACCUGGCGCUUGGAGAGGGGCCCGCGUCCGAUUAGCUAGUUGGUGGGGUAAUGGCUCACCAAGGCGACGAUCGGUAGCCGGCCUGAGAGGGCGGACGGCCACACUGGGACUGAGACACGGCCCAGACUCCUACGGGAGGCAGCAGUGGGGAAUUGUUCGCAAUGGGCGCAAGCCUGACGACGCAAUGCCGCGUGGAGGAUGAAGAAUUUCGGUUCGUAAACUCCUUUCGACCGAGAUGAAUGUCCGCCGACCUAACACGUCGGCGGGGUGACAGUAUCGAGGGAAGAAGCCCCGGCUAACUCCGUGCCAGCAGCCGCGGUAAUACGGGGGGGGCGAGCGUUGUUCGGAAUUACUGGGCGUAAAGGGUUCGUAGGUGGCUUGCUAAGUCAGACGUGAAAUCCCUCGGCUCAACCGGGGAAUUGCGUCUGAGACUGGCGAGCUUGAGUGCAGGAGAGGAACGCGGAAUUCCAGGUGUAGCGGUGAAAUGCGUAGAUAUCUGGAGGAACACCGGUGGCGAAGGCGGCGUUCUGGACUGCAACUGACACUGAUGAACGAAAGCCAGGGUAGCAAACGGGAUUAGAUACCCCGGUAGUCCUGGCCCUAAACGAUGAAUGCUUGGUGUGGCGGGUAUCGAUCCCUGCCGUGCCGAAGUUAACGCGAUAAGCAU